rnacentral:rRNA from 1 species
UAGGGAAUCUUCGGCAAUGGGGGCAACCCUGACCGAGCAACGCCGCGUGAGUGAAGAAGGUUUUCGGAUCGUAAAGCUCUGUUGUAAGUCAAGAACGAGUGUGAGAGUGGAAAGUUCACACUGUGACGGUAGCUUACCAGAAAGGGACGGCUAACUACGUGCCAGCAGCCGCGGUAAUACGUAGGUCCCGAGCGUUGUCCGGAUUUAUUGGGCGUAAAGCGAGCGCAGGCGGUUUGAUAAGUCUGAAGUUAAAGGCUGUGGCUCAACCAUAGUUCGCUUUGGAAACUGUCAAACUUGAGUGCAGAAGGGGAGAGUGGAAUUCCAUGUGUAGCGGUGAAAUGCGUAGAUAUAUGGAGGAACACCGGUGGCGAAAGCGGCUCUCUGGUCUGUAACUGACGCUGAGGCUCGAAAGCGUGGGGAGCGAACAGGAUUAGAUACCCUGGUAGUCCACGCCGUAAACGAUGAGUGCUAGGUGUUGGAUCCUUUCCGGGAUUCAGUGCCGCAGCUAACGCAUUAAGCACUCCGCCUGGGGAGUACGACCGCAAGGUUGAAACUCAAAGGAAUUGACGGGGGCCCGCACAAGCGGUGGAGCAUGUGGUUUAAUUCGAAGCAACGCGAAGAACCUUACCAGGUCUUGACAUCCCGAUGCUAUUUCUAGAGAUAGAAAGUUACUUCGGUACAUCGGUGACAGGUGGUGCAUGGUUGUCGUCAGCUCGUGUCGUGAGAUGUUGGGUUAAGUCCCGCAACGAGCGCAACCCCUAUUGUUAGUUGCCAUCAUUCAGUUGGGCACUCUAGCGAGACUGCCGGUAAUAAACCGGAGGAAGGUGGGGAUGACGUCAAAUCAUCAUGCCCCUUAUGACCUGGGCUACACACGUGCUACAAUGGUUGGUACAACGAGUUGCGAGUCGGUGACGGCAAGCUAAUCUCUUAAAGCCAAUCUCAGUUCGGAUUGUAGGCUGCAACUCGCCUACAUGAAGUCGGAAUCGCUAGUAAUCGCGGAUCAGCACGCCGCGGUGAAUACGUUCCC